rnacentral:rRNA from 1 species
GGGGGCAACCCCUUGAGAGUGGCGAACGGGUGAGUAAUAUAUCGGAACGUGCCCAGUCGUGGGGGAUAACGUAGUGAAAAUUACGCUAAUACCGCAUACGAUCUAAGGAUGAAAGCGGGGGAUCGCAAGACCUCGCGCGACUGGAGCGGCCGAUAUCAGAUUAGGUAGUUGGUGAGGUAAAGGCUCACCAAGCCAACGAUCUGUAGCUGGUCUGAGAGGACGACCAGCCACACUGGAACUGAGACACGGUCCAGACUCCUACGGGAGGCAGCAGUGGGGAAUUUUGGACAAUGGACGCAAGUCUGAUCCAGCCAUUCCGCGUGCAGGAUGAAGGCCCUCGGGUUGUAAACUGCUUUUGUACGGAACGAAAAGGUCUCUCCUAAUACGAGGGGCUCAUGACGGUACCGUAAGAAUAAGCACCGGCUAACUACGUGCCAGCAGCCGCGGUAAUACGUAGGGUGCAAGCGUUAAUCGGAAUUACUGGGCGUAAAGCGUGCGCAGGCGGUUAUGUAAGACAGAGGUGAAAUCCCCGGGCUCAACCUGGGAACUGCCUUUGUGACUGCAUAGCUAGAGUACGGUAGAGGGGGAUGGAAUUCCGCGUGUAGCAGUGAAAUGCGUAGAUAUGCGGAGGAACACCGAUGGCGAAGGCAAUCCCCUGGACCUGUACUGACGCUCAUGCACGAAAGCGUGGGGAGCAAACAGGAUUAGAUACCCUGGUAGUCCACGCCCUAAACGAUGUCAACUGGUUGUUGGGUCUU